rnacentral:rRNA from 1 species
UAGGGAAUCUUCGGCAAUGGACGAAAGUCUGACCGAGCAACGCCGCGUGAGUGAAGAAGGUUUUCGGAUCGUAAAACUCUGUUGUUAGAGAAGAACAAGGACGUUAGUAACUGAACGUCCCCUGACGGUAUCUAACCAGAAAGCCACGGCUAACUACGUGCCAGCAGCCGCGGUAAUACGUAGGUGGCAAGCGUUGUCCGGAUUUAUUGGGCGUAAAGCGAGCGCAGGCGGUUUCUUAAGUCUGAUGUGAAAGCCCCCGGCUCAACCGGGGAGGGUCAUUGGAAACUGGGAGACUUGAGUGCAGAAGAGGAGAGUGGAAUUCCAUGUGUAGCGGUGAAAUGCGUAGAUAUAUGGAGGAACACCAGUGGCGAAGGCGGCUCUCUGGUCAGUAACUGACGCUGAGGCUCGAAAGCGUGGGGAGCAAACAGG